rnacentral:lncRNA from 1 species
CUUCCUUCCCACUACAUUGUGAAAGUAUAUUCUGAAGAAUAUUCUCUUGAUGUAUUUGAUUGACCAAAGGGAGUGUAUUUAUACAAGGUUAAUUACCCAAAUAAACUAAACCUACUUUAUUUACAUUAAUAUCAUUACCCAAAAUAACUAAACCUACUUUAUUUACAUUAAUACCCUCCCUCAAACUCAAGGUGGUAGAGUAGCGAUCAACUUGAGUUUGGUAAGUAAGUGACAAAAUCGAUUAGAUGGCAAGGCUUUGGUGAAGAUAUCCGCAGGUUGUUCAAUAGUAGAAACAGAACGUAAGAGGAGGGUGUUGCUUAAGAGGUGGUGACGAACAAAGUGACAGUCAUUUUCAAUGUGUUUUGUACGUUCAUGAAACACAUCAUUGUGAGCAAUCUGAAUGGCACUACGAUUGUCACAAUGGAGGAGGGUAGGACCCUGUUGAGGGACACUCAUAUCGGCAAGGAGCCACCGAAGCCAUAUAAGUUCAGCUGUAGCAUCAGCCAGAGCACGAUAUUCAGAUUCCGUACUGGAACGAGAUAUAACACUUUGUUUCUUACUACGCCAUGAGAUGAGAGAAUCACCUAAGUAAAAACAGUAUCCUGUAGUGGAUCGUCGAUCAGUAGGAUCCCCCGCCCAAUCAGCAUCAGAAUAUCCCGACAACACAAGGGAAGACUGAGAUGAGAAUUGAAGACCAUGUCCCAAGGUGCCUUUGACAUAGCGAAGUAUGCGUAGAACAGCAGUGAAAUGAAUUGUUCGAGGAGCAGCCAUAAAUUGACUGACAAUAUGAACAGCAUAUGCAAUAUCUGGGCGAGUUACUGUUAGGUAUAUAAGACUGCCAACAAGUUGCCGAUACAAGCUUGCAUCGUCAAGAGGAACACCAUCAAACGGAGUUAGAUGGACAUGAGGAUCUAACGGUGUUGAAGAUGUGGUGGAGUCUGUAAUUCCUGAGCGUGCUAUUAGAUCAGAUGCAUAUUUCGCUUGAGAUAACAGAUAACCAUCUGAACGGUGAGAGACUUCAAGACCGAGAAAGUAAUUGAGAGAUCCAAGGUCUUUCAUCUCAAAAUGUUGACCAAGAUAUUGUUGUAGGUCGGAUAUGGCCUGUUGAUCAUUACCAGUAAUAAUCAUAUCAUCAACAUAAAGAAGGAGAAGAACAAUACCAUGAGUUGUCUGUCGUGUAAAAAGGGCAUUGUCGUGAGAGCUGGAGGUAAAUCCAAGUUGAGUAAUGGUGGAGCUAAACGUGGCAAACCAAGCUCGUGGAGCCUGUUUUAGACCGUAUAGAGCGCGACGAAGGAGACACACCUUGUUGGGAGGAGGAGAAGUUCCCUGAGGUGGCUUCAUAUACACUUCUUCAGAUAGGUUGCCGUUAAGAAAUGCAUUUUUGACAUCCAUCUGAAAAAGAGGCCACUGUUUGGCAGCAGCAACAGCUAACAAGCUGCGAACAGAUGUCAUCCGGGCAACAGGGGCAAAUGUUUCUUCAUAGUCAAUCCCAUAUUCUUGUGAGUAUCCUUUUGCAACAAGCCGAGCUUUAUAACGUUCAAUAGUUCCAUCAGAGUGAGUUUUGAUUUUGUAAAUCCAUUUGCAACCAAUGGGUCUUUUACCGGGAGGUAAAUCAACAUAGUCCCAAGUGUGCGUCUUUUCAAGAGCCUGUAAUUCUUCAUCCAUUGCUUUCUGCCAUACUGGGUUAAUACUGGCCUCUUGAUAAGAGGUGGGUUCAACAAGGGAAACAAUGGUAGAAAAACAAUGGUAAUCAGUGAGAUGAGGGGGAGGUUCUCUUACCCUGGUAGAGCGACGAAGAGGAGUAGCAGGUGGCGAUUCAGGAACAUCAUCGGAGACAGACGGUGGAUCCAGAUUUGCAGUAGCAGGUGAAGAUUGUGCAAGCUCAGUAUCCAAGGUGGGUUCAGAGAGAGGAAAAAGGUCAACAGAUGUGUUUGUAAAGAAAGAUUGAGGACUAGAGAAGGAGGUGUGGAAGGAGGACAAACGAGAGAACAUAGUGUGUUCCCAAAAAGUGACAUGCCGAGAUAUCCGGAGUCGGUUGGAAAGAGGGUCCCAACAACGAAAUCCUUUGUGUUCGGUGCCAUAGCCAAGGAAGCAACAGAGACGGGCACGUGGUUCAAGUUUAUUGUGUUCAUGAGGAUGUAACAGAACGAAGCAGGCACUACCAAAAACUUUGAGUUUAGAAUAGUCGGGAGAAAUACCAUAUAGUUUUUCGAACGGAGAGGUAUUUUGAAGGACAGAGGAAGGGAGACGAUUGAUUGUAUAUACUGAUGUAAGGGCAGCUUCACCCCAGAAUUUUUCUGGACAAGAGGCAGAAAGAAGGAGGGCACGUACUGAGUCAAGAAUGUGACGAUGUUUGCGCUCAGCACGUCCAUUUUGUUGAGAGGUAUGAGGGCAAGAGCGCUGAACAAUAGUGCCCUGUUGGGAAAGAAAAGAAAGAAGGAUGGAAUCUUUAUAUUCCAAAGCAUUAUCAGUGCGAAGAAUUUUGAUGGGAGAGGAAAAUUGAGUGCGAAUCAUGUUAGCAAACUCAAUAUAUGUGCGAGAUAAUUCAGAACGAUGUUUUAGAAAGUAAAUCCAUGUAAAUCGAGAGUAGUCAUCAAUGAAUAAAACAUAGUAGCGAUAACCAUGAACAGUAGUAAUUGGGGCAGGACCCCAAAUAUCAGAAUGCACUAAAUCAAAAGGUUUAUCACAAUUAGAGAUGGAUUGAGAAAAAGAUAAGGCAGGUUGUUUAGCAAGUUUGCAAUUCAAACAAUUAAAAGGAACAAAUUUAGUAAGAUUAGUCAAAUUGUUAACAGAAAUUAAAUGACGAAGUUUUUCAGAGGAAGCAUGACCAAGACGAAGAUGCCACUGAUAUGUGUCAGAAUCAGUGACCGAAGCAGAGAUGGAAGAAGGAGAUGAAAUCCGAAGUGAUGUGAGCUCAAACAAUCUUCCCACUUUGCGACCCGUUCCAAUCGUCUGUCCCGUCUGCGGAUCCUGAACCUGACAACCAUUGGGAGAAAAUGAAACAUUUAAGCCCAGAUCACAUAAUUGACCAACAGACACUAGAUUAAAGGUCAGGUUAGGAACACAGUAAGUAUGGGGAAGAUGUACACUGGGAGUAUCAAUGGUACCAGUAUGAGAGAUGUUCAUACAAUUACCAUCAGCAGCAUAAAUAGGAGGUAAAGAUUUUGUAGGGCUAGACGUAGACAUAAGAGAAGAGUCAGAGGUCAUAUGAUUACAACAGGCAGAAUCAAGAAGCCAUCGAUUACCUGAUGAAACAGCCAGAGCGGAGGAUGAUGAAAUUAGUUGAUUCAAUAAGCUCUGAAGAUCACUUAUCUGAAUGAGGGAUGAAUCAUCCGAGGUCGCAGCAACAACAGAUGAGGAACCAUGUUUGGUAAAAAUUUUCUCUUUUGUGGAAGUGCUAGGAGGUCGGGGUGGUCUGGUAGGGCAGUUAUCCAGAAUGUGGCCAUGUUUAUGGCAGUACCUGCACUCUAUUUUAGGACAGUUACUAAAUUUGUGACCAGAGAGCUUACAAUUCUUACAAAACAUAUUUGCGGCUCUGUUGGGAGUGUAUGUGCUAGCAAGGACAACAUCAGAUUGUUUAGUAGAGUUGAUGCCAAGACGCUUUUCUUCAAACAGAAUUUCUUGAAUAGCUGCAUCUAAUGAGGGUAAGGGAUUCCGGUGUAGUAAAGCAGCUCUAACAGAUUCAUAUUCUGGACGUAAUCCCAUAAGGACUUUAAUAAGGCGAAGAUGAUCUUUGCUGAUGUUCGCUUGGUCAAGUUGAGUCCAAAUGGGUUGAAGAACUGCCAAAUAUUCAUUAACAGACUGACCAGAAUCUUGAUUUAGAUUUACAAGUGUACUGUGCAGUUGGUAAUAAUGGGCUAAACCAAUAGACUUGAAGCAGUGUAGACAAAAAAUCCCAUAAUAUUUUAGCAUCAUCAAAGGCAUCAAACUGUGCAUGUAUAGCGGGAAUAGAGGUGUUACCAAGCCAGGUGAUAAUUUGAUGAUUUUUACUGUCCCAAUCUUCGAGACGUUCAAUGAAUGUGUUAUCCCCUUCCUUUGCAGUUGGUUUGGUGAUGUCGCCAGUUACAAUGCGCCAUAGUUUUCUUCCAAUAAGAAAACUUUUCAUUUGAUUUGCCCAUGUGAUAUAAUUUGUACCAUCAAGUAUGGUAGAAAUGGGUCUAAAGAUAUGGUCUCUCUCCAUUUUGAUUUGGGGUUAACAAUGCGGAUUUUCGGCCGAGUUUUGACUGAUUCGUGACUGGAUUCAGGGGUGCACGGCUGGGAACGGAGACAAACAAAAAAAACUUGAAGACAAACGGCUGAAAGAUUCGUCAGAUCUGAAGACAAACGGCUGAAGGAUUCGUCAGAUCUGAAGACAAACGGCUGAAGGAUUCGUCAGAUCUGAAGACAAACGGCUGAAGGAUUCGUCAGAUCUGGUGUUGAACCGUGCACAUCUGUCACCAGAGACCGAAUCGACAAGAAACCACGAUCAGCGUGUAGAUCUACAAAAAUCUAUCGAUCUACGAACUUCGAAACAUCGACAGAGUGGAAGACGGAGCUAGAUCUGCGAAAAAUGAAAUCAAAGAAACUUGGAAAGAUAGGGUUUCCAACGGAGGCAGAUCCGGCUGAGACGGCUGGACAGCGGCGGAAGAGCAAUGGCGGCAGCGGCGGAAGGCCUUGCGGUACAGGUUCACGCGGCGGCCUUGGCUUCAACGGAGACAGAACCGGUUGAGACGGCUGGACAGCGGCGGAAGAGCAAUGGCGGCAGCGGCGGAAGGUCUUGCGGUACAGAUCUGGACGGCGGCCGCAAGGUGACGCGUACGGUUGCCUCGCGGAUGGAGACGAAUCGGAAGGUGACGCGUACGGCUGCCUCGCGGAUGGAGACGAAUCGGAGCGGAAACGGCGCGGCUGCCUCGCGGAUGGAGAUGAAUCGGAGCGGAAACGACGCCGAUGUUGUGGCUGCUGCUGCGAUGCCGAGGCUGCUGCGAUGCCGAGGCUGCUGCUGAUCGGCGCGACGCCGAUGUUGUGGCUGGAGACAGAUCGGAGCUGUCUGCGAGGCGCGCGGAAGGGCUGGAGACAGAUCGGAGCUGUUGCUGCGAUGCCGAGGCUGCUGCGAUGCCGAGGCUGCUGCUGAUCGGCGCGACGCCGAUGUUGUGGCUGGAGACAGAUCGGAGCUGUCUGCGAGGCGCGCGGAAGGGCUGGAGACAGAUCGGAGCUGUCUGCGGCGCGAUGAGGAUGACGGAGACGGAGACUUUCACGGGUGGGCGGCGGCGGCGGCGGCGGCGGCGGCUAAGAUGAAAAACCCUAGCUUUGAUACCAUGUGAAAGUAUAUUCUGAAGAAUAUUCUCUUGAUGUAUUUGAUUGACCAAAGGGAGUGUAUUUAUACAAGGUUAAUUACCCAAAUAAACUAAACCUACUUUAUUUACAUUAAUAUCAUUACCCAAAAUAACUAAACCUACUUUAUUUACAUUAAUAUACAUAAUUUUCAGGCAUUGAAUCUGUCUCUAACUUCACUCUAUUUCUGUGGGUGCAUGCAUGGUCAAGUUGUACUAAUUGACGUAACUUGGUGCAGUGUUUUGAUAACACCUCUAUAGUUUCCUUCAUUUUUUUUCGUCCUUACUGAGCUAUGGAUGACUGUAGAAAAAUUAGGUGGUGGUUUUAUGAAAGGAAAUACCUUGUUUGAUCUUAUUUUCUGUUCAACAUCUUCAUAAGCAAACAAGUCUAACAUAUCCUCGAUCAGCUUGAUAAACAAUACCCACACUCAGUUAUUAAGCCAUCGUGUGAAUAAUGAUUUGUUUUGAUGCCAUUAGGAUCCUUUAAGCAUGAAGUAGCUAGCUCUUUUUGUAGCUCUUCUAGCACCUUCUUCAACCCUCUUGGACACACACUAAUUUGCUCACCUAGCAGAGUUAGAGCCUUCUUUAGAUCUUGGUUGCACAGCAAAAGUCCAUAGGAACUCAGCCAUAUUUCUCACCCCUCUUUGCUCUUUACUUUACUUCUGUCUUUCCAAGGAGAAAGGAAGAGGAGAAAUUAGCAGCAGCAAAGGAAUUUCAUGAAAUCUUUAACGUAAUGAGUUGUGAAAGUGUAUACACUGGUCCUCUAGAUUUAAAAAAAU